GCUUGUUUAGCUCAGUCGGUAGAGCAACUGGCUGUUAACCAGUGGGUCGCCGGUUCGAGUCCUGCAACAAGCGCCA
rnacentral:tRNA from 1 species